UCUAGAACUCGAGAUAUGGGCUGAACACUGAACAAUGUCUGGGCUGCAGGACAGAUUCCGACUUCUCUUUGGAUGCUAAGAUUUGGACUUCCAAAUAGCAGAAUUGAGUCUUGGACUCUUCUUGAAUGUUUUAGGCCUAUGUCUUAGAUUUCUAUC
rnacentral:pre_miRNA from 1 species